rnacentral:rRNA from 1 species
CUACGUGCCAGCAGCCGCGGUAAUACGUAGGUCCCGAGCGUUGUCCGGAUUUAUUGGGCGUAAAGCGAGCGCAGGCGGUUAGAUAAGUCUGAAGUUAAAGGCUGUGGCUUAACCAUAGUACGCUUUGGAAACUGUUUAACUUGAGUGCAAGAGGGGAGACUGGAAUUCCUGGUGUAGCGGUGGAAUGCGCAGAUAUCAGGAGGAACACCGAUGGCGAAGGCAGGUCUCUGGGCUGUAACUGACGCUGAGAAGCGAAAGCAUGGGGAGCGAACAGGAUUAGAUACCCUGGUAGUCCAUGCCGUAAACGUUGGGCACUAGGUGUGGGGGACAUUCCACGUUUUCCGCGCCGUAGCUAACGCAUUAAGUGCCCCGCCUGGGGAGUACGGCCGCAAGGCUAAAACUCAAAGAAAUUGACGGGGGCCCGCACAAGCGGCGGAGCAUGCGGAUUAAUUCGAUGCAACGCGAAGAACCUUACCAAGGCUUGACAU